ensembl:ncRNA T06D8.17 ncRNA
UACACUAGACGGCGCGGCGGACACCUUGCGAGUUUCGCCUAUCGCAGUGGUAUCUGUGGGACAGGACUCCGCCCACUAGAAGAAGGGGAUGCAACUUUUUGGAGUUCUGAGCUCAGUUUUGAGGGGGAUUUUGAUAUUUGUGAUAGUUUUAAGCUAAUUUUCCAAACCUAUGGUGAAUGGACUCGACACGACAAU